UACGGAGGGGGCUAGCGUUGUUCGGAAUUACUGGGCGUAAAGCGCGUGUAGGCGGUCACGCAAGUCAGGUGUGAAAGCCCUGGGCUCAACCCAGGAAGUGCACAUGAUACUACGUGGCUGGAGUACUGAAGAGGAGAGCGGAAUUCCCGGUGUAGAGGUGAAAUUCGUAGAUAUCGGGAGGAACACCAGUGGCGAAGGCGGCUCUCUGGGCAGAUACUGACGCUGAGACGCGAAAGCGUGGGUAGCAAACAGG
rnacentral:rRNA from 1 species